ensembl:lncRNA
UGUUCAUGUUGUGGGUCUUAUUGUCCAUGUUGUGGGUCUUAUUGUUCAUGUUGUGGGUCUUAUUGUUGUUCAUGUUGUGGGUCUUAUUGUUCAUGUUGUGGGUCUCAUUGUUGUUCAUGUUGUGGGUCUUAUUGUCCAUGUUGUGGGUCUUAUUGUUGUUCAUGUUGUGGGUCUCAUUGUUGUUCAUGUUGUGUUCGUGUUGUGGGUCUUAUUGUCCAUGUUGUGGGUCUUAUUGUUCAUGUUCUGGGUCUUAUUGUUCAUGUUGUGGGUCUUAUUGUUCAUGUUGUGGGUCUUAUUGUUGUUCAUGUUGUGGGUCUUAUUGUUGUUCAUGUUGUGUUCAUGUUGUGGGUCUUAUUGUUGUUCAUGUUGUGUUCAUGUUGUGGGUCUUAUUAUUGUUCAUGUUGUGGGUCUUAUUGUUCAUGUUGUGGGUCUUAUUGUUCAUGUUGUGGGUCUUAUUGUUGUUCAUGUUGUGGGUCUUAUUGUUCAUGUUGUGGGUCUCAUUGUUGUUCAUGUUGUGGGUCUUAUUGUUGUUCAUGUUGUGUCCAUGUUGUGGGUCUUAUUAUUGUUCAUGUUGUGGGUCUUAUUAUUGUUCAUGUUGUGGGUCUCAUUGUUGUUCAUGUUGUGGGUCUUAUUAUUGUUCAUGUUGUGGGUCUCAUUGUUGUUCAUGUUGUGGGUCUUAUUGUUCAUGUUGUGGGUCUUAUUGUUGUUCAUGUUGUGGGUCUUAUUGUUCAUGUUGUGGGUCUUAUUGUUCAUGUUGUGGGUCUUAUUGUUCAUGUUGUGGGUCUCAUUGUUGUUCAUGUUGUGGGUCUUAUUGUCCAUGUUGUGGGUCUUAUUGUUGUUCAUGUUGUGGGUCUCAUUGUUGUUCAUGUUGUGUUCGUGUUGUGGGUCUUAUUGUCCAUGUUGUGGGUCUUAUUGUUCAUGUUCUGGGUCUUAUUGUUCAUGUUGUGGGUCUUAUUGUUGUUCAUGUUGUGGGUCUUAUUGUUGUUCAUGUUGUGUUCAUGUUGUGGGUCUUAUUGUUGUUCAUGUUGUGUUCAUGUUGUGGGUCUUAUUAUUGUUCAUGUUGUGGGUCUUAUUGUUCAUGUUGUGGGUCUUAUUGUUCAUGUUGUGGGUCUUAUUGUUGUUCAUGUUGUGGGUCUUAUUGUUCAUGUUGUGGGUCUCAUUGUUGUUCAUGUUGUGGGUCUUAUUGUUGUUCAUGUUGUGUCCAUGUUGUGGGUCUUAUUAUUGUUCAUGUUGUGGGUCUCAUUGUUGUUCAUGUUGUGGGUCUUAUUAUUGUUCAUGUUGUGGGUCUCAUUGUUGUUCAUGUUGUGGGUCUUAUUGUCCAUGUUGUGGGUCUUAUUAUUGUUCAUGUUGUGGGUCUCAUUGUUGUUCAUGUUGUGGGUCUUAUUGUUCAUGUUGUGGGUCUUAUUGUUGUUCAUGUUGUGGGUCUUAUUGUUCAUGUUGUGGGUCUUAUUGUUCAUGUUGUGGGUCUUAUUGUUCAUGUUGUGGGUCUCAUUGUUGUUCAUGUUGUGUUCAUGUUGUGGGUCUUAUUAUCAGGAAACGCACAGCAGAGAAUCAGAGAGUUGAAGAACAAAAGCAUGAGGACGUCUACAGCAGCAUCCUGCUGCCUGCGGAUCCACAGGGACAGAAGGCAGGUGGCGCUGUGGAGGAUGUCAGCUACGCCUCGGUCCAGUUCAGACAGCAGAAACAUGGCAGCAGGUAGGAUGGACAGCUCGGCCAGCUGUCACUGACACAUGACUGAUGAAUUGGAUGGAUGCAUGUGUUUGUGGCACAGACUCCUUCACUGUCACCUACCUGUGUU